CAAAAACAUGGCCUUUAGCUACAACAAAUAUUAAAGGUCCUGCCUGCCCAGUGAAUAUUUUUUAACGGCCGCGGUAUCAUAACCGUGCAAAGGUAGCGUAAUCACUUGUCCUCUAAAUCGGGACCCGUAUGAAUGGCUAAAUGAGGGCACACCUGUCUCCUAAAGCCCCUCAAUGAAACUGAUCAGCCAGUACAAAAGCUGGUAUAAACACAUAAGACGAGAAGACCCUGCGGAGCUUUAAACUAAGACGUUAAUUAAUAUACCACUAAACCUAAUAAUAUAAUUGACAAUAACGUCUGUUUUUAGUUGGGGCGACUGCGGAAUAAAACAAACCUUCCAUGAAACAGGCUAUACCCCUUCCAAGAAAAACAAAUCUACGAAAAACACAUACUGACCCAGUAAAUACUGAUCAACGAACCAAGUUACCCCAGGGAUAACAGCGCCAUCCCCUUUAAGAGUUCAUAUCGCCAAGGGGGUUUACGACCUCGAUGUUGGAUCAGGACACCCAGGUGGUGCAGCCGCUACCAAAGGUUCGUUUGUUCAACGAUUAAUGUCCUACGUGAUCUGA
rnacentral:rRNA from 1 species